AUUGAACGCUGGCGGCAGGCCUAACACAUGCAAGUCGAGCGGAGCGGCGGACGGGGGAGUAAUACCGAGGAAUCUGCCUGGUAGUGGGGGAUAACGUUCGGAAACGGACGCUAAUACCGCAUACUAUCAGAUGAGCCUAGGUCGGAUUAGCUAGUUGGUGAGGUAACGGCGGACCAAGGCUACGAUCCGUAACUGGUCUGAGAGGACGAUCAGUCACACUGGAACUGAGACACGGUCCAGACUCCUACGGGAGGCAGCAGUGGGGAAUAUUGGACAAUGGGCGAAAGCCUGAUCCAGCCAUGCCGCGUGUGUGAAGAAGGUCUUCGGAUUGUAAAGCUCUUUUAGUUGGGAGGCGUUACCGACAGAAUAAGCACCGGCUAACUCUGUGCCAGCAGCCGCGGUAAUUC
rnacentral:rRNA from 1 species